UACGUAGGGGGCAAGCGUUGUCCGGAUUUAUUGGGCGUAAAGAGCGUGUAGGCGGCCUUACAGGUCAGCUGUGAAAACUCGAGGCUCAACCUCGAGACGUCGGUUGAAACCGUAAGGCUAGAGUCCGGAAGAGGAGAGUGGAAUUCCCGGUGUAGCGGUGAAAUGCGCAGAUAUCAGGAAGAACACCAAUGGCGAAGGCAGCUCUCUGGGACGGUACUGACACUGGAGAACGCGAAAGCGUGGGGAGCCGAACAGG
rnacentral:rRNA from 1 species